UUGGAAUUUUCAUCCCAAAAAUCUAAAUUUUCAGGACCACAGCGCCUCAUCCCCCCAAAUCUUCAACUCCAAGCUCCUACUCCUCCCUCCACCGCCUCCCCCUCCUCUCCCUCUCCCUCCUCAACCUCACCCCAUGGCCAACUCUGAGUCCCCCAUGGCCACAGGAUCCCAACUCCAAAACCCUAACCCUAACCCCAAACCCCAAUUGCCCUCUCGCCCCCACCGCACCCAUGGCCGCGUCCUCAACCGCCCUCUUAACGCCGCUGGUGACGUCCGCCGCCACUACGACUUCCUCCGCGAGCUCGGCCGCGGCCAGUUCGGCGUCACCUACCUCAUCGCCGACAAGACGACCGGCGAUCGCUUCGCCUGCAAGUCGAUCCCCCUUUCUUUAAGCCUGAUGUUCCUCUGUUAACAGUUUGUAAGGAACACGUUUUUCCUUAUCCACCAAGUUUGCCUUCUAAAUUGCAACUUGCACCUCUCACAGAGACUGGAGUCAUCAAACAACUGGCAUCAGCCUUGAUUUCCAAGUUGACAGAGGAUAAAACUUCUGCUCUUCAGCAAAAUCAGAAACUUAGACAAGAACUGGUAUGUUUUUUUUAGUUCCUAUGGCAUGUUUAUCAUAUAUUUUUAAAGUAUGUUGGUCUUUUCUAGUUUAAAUUUUACUAGCCUGACUAGUAAUGAUAUUAGAUCUUCUAUUCCACCAAGUUGCUGGUUCGAUCUAUGCCAUUUAAUGAAUACAUGUGUGGACGCCAAAUUCUCUUCUUUAGUUUGAACAAUACACGUGAUAAAAAAAGCUGUUUUUAAUAUGUUUUCUGUCUUUAACUGCCCACAAAUUGUUUUGACUGUUAACCAACAAAUUGUCUUAUACAUGAUUAUCCCUUCACAGAAAUCAAUAGGUAAUGCAGUAAUAAAUUAAGUGGCUGUUAUGUAUACAUGAUUUGUAUAUUCCUUCACGGAAAUCAAUUGGUAAAGCAGUAAUAAAUUAAAUGGCAGUUAUGUAUCCCAAUGCUAGCC